rnacentral:rRNA from 1 species
UACGGAGGGUGCAAGCGUUGCUCGGAAUUAUUGGGCGUAAAGGGUAGGUAGGUGGUCUCAUUUGUCUGGGGUGAAAGCCUUGAGCUUAACUCAAGAAGUGCCCCAGAAACGGUGAGACUAGAGUUCUGGAGAGGGUCGUGGAAUUCCCGGUGUAGCGGUGAAAUGCGUAGAGAUCGGGAGGAACACCAGAGGCGAAGGCGGCGACCUGGACAGAUACUGACACUUAACUACGAAAGCGUGGGGAGCAAACAGG